AUUUGAUCAAUGGUUUAAUGGCAAACUUAAAUAAGUUUGCUGCAUUUGCAAAUGUAGCCUAUAAUAAUAUACACAGAAUCAGAGUAGCCUAUGGGACACUU